rnacentral:rRNA from 1 species
CCUACGGGAGGCAGCAGUGAGGAAUAUUGGUCAAUGGUCGAGAGACUGAACCAGCCAAGCCGCGUGAGGGAUGAAGGUACAGAGUAUCGUAAACCUCUUUUGUCAGGGAACAAAGGCGGGGACGUGUCCCCGGAUGAGUGUACCUGAAGAAAAAGCAUAGGCUCACCACGUGCCAGCCGCCGCGGUAAGACGGGGGAUGCGAGCGUUAUCCGGAUUUAUGGGGUUUAAAGGGUGCGCAGGCGGUCUGGUAAGUCAGCGUGAAAAGCCCGGGGCUCAACCCCGGCCCGCCGUUGAAACUGGCAGGCUCGAGUGGGAGAGAAGAAUGCGGAAUGCGCGGUGUAGCGGUGAAAUGCGUAGAUAUCGCGCAGAACACCGAUUGCGAAGGCAGCAUGCCGG